rnacentral:lncRNA from 1 species
UUUUCUAAUCUAUAUUGAUAAUCAAAAGUGCUUAAUAAAAACAUUACCUAGUGAUGAUCACCGUGGCGAUCGAUGCUAAAAAGUAGCUUUCACUGCUUAUGUAAGUGUGAGAGUAAUAGUGUAGUGCGCAGAAAAAUAGGAAUCUUAAAAAUAGCACAGGGGUAAAAUAACUAAAAAUAGAAGCAAUAGAAGAAACUUAGCAGCAUCCUCGGCAAGAAUGCGAGCAACUUUCUGUUGUCUCCCAGUCUUCGAUUUAC